CAUGAACAAGGCCCAAAUAUUAGUCCCACCGGAAACCUUGUCAGUCGUCUCCACACUCUUCCUCUCCAAACCCUAGCUCCCAAAUCCCCUUCGCACCGAGAUCUGAUCUUGACUUCCCCCGCCCCACCGCCGUCAUGGCCACCGGCGGCAACCCCAAUCCCAACGCGAACCCCGGCCAGCCACGCCCGCAGCAGCAGCCGCCGGGAAGCUCUCCGGCGACCCCGCAUAACCACAUGCGCCCCCCCACUCUCGCCGGUUCCCCGUUUCAGGGUCUUUUCCACACCCCGCCUAGCCACAAUCCUGCUUUCCAGAUUCACAUGGGCGCAGCCUCCUCCCCCCAGACCCCACUAAUGGCCGCGGCCGCGGCCUCCGCCGCCGCAUCGGCCAAGCGCCCUCCCCAGAAGCCCCCUUCGCGUCCGCCGGCACCCACCUCCAACGCCGCCGCCGCAGCGUCCAUGGCCGCCGCUUAUAAGGCUGCUAACUCCGGCAGCGUCGACCUCACCCCCGCUGCGCGCCGCAACAAGAAGCGCAAACUCCCGGAGAAGCAGCUCCCGGACCGCGUCGCCGCGCUGUUGCCAGAGUCCGCGCUCUACACGCAGCUCCUCGAGUUCGAGGCCCGCGUAGACGCAGCGCUCGCGCGCAAGAAGGUGGACAUUCAGGAGGCGCUCAAGACACCACCGUCCCUCCAGCGCACGCUCCGCAUCUACGUCUUCAACACCUUCGCCAACCAGGCGCCCCGCACCAUCCCGCCGCCCAAGAAUGGCGAUCCGCCCACCUGGUCGCUCAAGAUCAUUGGCCGUGUGCUUGAAGACGGCGCGGAGCUGGACCCAGCCAGUGUCGUGCCGAAGCACAAUCCGGUGUAUCCGAAAUUCUCCUCGUUCUUUAAGAGGGUGACUAUUGCUCUUGACUCGUCACUCUAUCCAGAGAACCCACUGAUUGUCUGGGAGAAUGCCCGGUCUGCUGCGCCGCAGGAAGGGUUUGAGGUGAAGAGGAAAGGGGAUAAGGAGUUUCUUGCCAAUAUCCGUCUGGAGAUGAAUUAUAACCCCGAGAAGUUCAAGCUGUCACAGCCACUAAUGGAGGUGCUUGGGGUUGAGGUGGACACUCGCGCAAGGGUGAUCGCAGCCCUUUGGCAGUACAUCAAGGCAAAGAAGCUACAGAAUCCAAGUGACCCUUCCUACUUUAUGUGUGACCCCCAACUGAAGAAGGUAUUUGGGGAGGAUAAAAUGAGGUUUGCUAUGCUGUCGCAGAAGAUAUCACAGCAUCUUGCUCCUCCACCGCCCAUCAACUUGGAACAUAAGAUCAAGCUAUCAGGGAAUGGAGCAAACUCGAGUGCUUGCUAUGAUGUAUUGGUAGAUGUUCCUUUCCCACUGCAGAAGGAGAUGACAGCAUUUCUUGCCAAUACUGAGAAGCACAAGGACAUUGAGGCAUGUGACGAGGUGAUAUCUGCUUCAAUCAAGAAGAUCCAUGAGCAUCGUAGGAGGAGGGCGUUUUUCCUUGGGUUCAGCCAGUCCCCAGUGGAGUUCAUUAAUGCGUUGAUAGCAUCACAGAGUAAAGAUUUGAAGCUUGUUGCUGGUGAAGCGAGUAGGAAUAUUGAAAGGGAAAGGCGUGCGGACUUCUAUAACCAGCCAUGGGUUGAGGAUGCUGUUAUAAGAUAUUUGAAUCGUAAACCGCCUGGUGGCAACGAUGGCCCUGGUGCUGGUGGUUCUUGAGAAGAUUGUUGUAGUUCCCUUUGGUGUAGAAACAAGUUGUCUGUCCUGUAUCAGUAUAAUUUCAGAGAUGGUAGUGACAAGAAAAUUGUUAGAUGUCGCGGAGGAACCUGGCAGUUUUACCUCCUUUGUCUGCUCAAAUGGUUUACCUAUUGUAUGGUGUGUUAUAUGUUAUCCCUCCUUGUCAUGGUAAAUGUUGAACUGGAAAAAUCUUUUAGUUUGCAUAUCUACUUAUUUAAAUGUGGCUGCAAGGUUAGGUUUGUAUGGCGUGUGGGGCAACGGGGUUCUCACUGGGCACCAUGUCAAUGAGGAAGAUGUGGAGAUGACCUGAGAAAGUGGGCCUUCUGUAUUUGAACGUGGAAGUGGAGGGAGAUGCAAAGAGAUGCCUCAGUCCUUGUCUUUAGUACCUCGGGGAUUAUGAUAACUGGUGUGUCUCUUGGGCCGUCCUAUUCUCUUUUAUCCGUGGGUUCUUUGAUGAUCAGUUUGUUCAGUUUUGGCCCUCAAGGGUAUGGCGCUUAUGAGUGCUUUUGCAUAUUGUGUUCCCAGGGUGUGAUAGGGUAUAUUUGUAUCUUGGCCCUGUUUACUGUUCUUGUCUUUCUUAAAUAAAACUUGUUAUUACUAUUAUCACAAUCAAUUACUCCCUCUGUUAU
rnacentral:rRNA from 1 species